rnacentral:tRNA from 1 species
GUCAGGAUAGCUCAGUUGGUAGAGCAGAGGACUGAAAAUCCUCGUGUCACCA